GCCUCCGUAGCUCAGGGGAUAGAGCGUUGGUUUCCGGUACCAGAAGUCGGGGGUUCGAAUCCCUCCGGGGGCA
rnacentral:tRNA from 11 species